GUGCUUGCUUCAGCAGCACAUAUACUUAAAAAUGGAACAACGCAAAUUAGCAUGACCCCUUCACAAGGAUGGCAUGCAAACUUGAGAAGCAUUUAAAUUAUAA